AUGUCGGAGCUGAUCCGGAAGCCGCAGGUGCUGAAGAAAGCGCAGGAGGAGAUCAGGGCCGCGAUCGCUGGCAAUGAGCAGCGGGUGCAGCCGGAUGACCUGUCGAAGCUGACCUACCUGAAGAUGGUCGUCAAAGAGACCCUGCGGCUGCACCCGCCGAUUACGCUGCUUCUGCCGCGGGAGACGCUGCGGCGGGUGGAGAUCGGCGGCUACGACGUGCCGGUGGGGACGCGGGUGCUGGUGAACGCGUGGGCCAUCGGGAGGGACCCCGCGAGCUGGGGCCAGGACGCGGCGGAGUUCGAGCCGGAGAGGUUCAAGGCCGGCGGGAGGCACGACAAGGUGGACUUCCGCGGCGCUCACUUGGAGCUGAUGCCGUUCGGCGCCGGCCGGCGAAUCUGCCCUGCACUGGCCAUGGGGGUGGCGAACGUGGAGUUCACGUUGGCCAACAUGUUGUACGGCUUCGAGUGGGAGCUGCCGGAGGGGACGUUGGCCGAGAAGGUGAGCAUGGAGGAGGCCGGUAGGCUGACCUUCCACCGCAAGACUCCGCUGGUGCUCCUGCCUACCCCAUACGUAGUAUGA
rnacentral:rRNA from 1 species